UACAGAGGUCUCAAGCGUUGUUCGGAUUCAUUGGGCGUAAAGGGUGCGUAGGCGGCGCGGUAAGUCGGGUGUGAAAUCUUGGAGCUUAACUCCGAAACUGCAUUCGAUACUGCCGUGCUUGAGUACUGGAGAGGAGACUGGAAUUUACGGUGUAGCGGUGAAAUGCGCAGAUAUCAGGAAGAACACCCGUGGCGAAGGCGGCUCUCUGGGACGGUACUGACGCUGAGACGCGAAAGCGUGGGGAGCGAACAGG
rnacentral:rRNA from 1 species